AGAGGGUUAAUCCAACUAAGACCUCUGAUUUCGACUCAGAGAAUCGUGGUUUAACUCCACGGCCCCCUU
rnacentral:tRNA from 1 species